CCUUAACGACUGCCAGAGCCUGGGACACGUCCCUCCUACGAUCUGAGUCUGACCAUCUGAGUCCACACCUGAAGUGACACAGCCUCACGUCCCUCAGACUCCUAAGGCGGAAGUCAGGAUACGUCACUUCUGGGAACACUGCCCGGGGGCCUUCCAGGGAUGACUUAGGUGCAGGGCGGAACCGAGGGCCCCUUCUGUCUGACCUUUGCUGUUGCCAGAACAUAGCUCAGGAUAGCCCACCGGACUCCAAAGAAGGAUGAAGGAAAAGUGGUGCAGAGUUGAGACCAUAGCAAAACUCAGCCUAGAUCAGCCAACUCCCAGGCAUCCAGUUGUUUAUAUGAAAGUUACUCUUCAACAUUCAGCCUUGGAUUUCGGAGGAAGAGGAUACGUGGAGUUAUUGUACACAGUCCUGGAAGCCAUAUCUGUGCAGAUUUCUACAUAUUAACAUGCUGUUAGCAUUUGACCUGAAAGGGCUGGGAAUGACCAUCAUAAGGUAUUUCAUGUAAGGCAAUGAAUAAUCUGAAAAUAAAAUGUUAAAAGGUUUCAUUCACAAAAAAAAAUUAAAAAAUAAAAAGUUUCAUUCACAAUAACAUUAAAAUGAAAACAUG